CCUACGGGAGGCUGCAGUGGGGAAUAUUGGACAAUGGGGGGAACCCUGAUCCAGCCAUGCCGCGUGUGUGAAGAAGGCCCUCGGGUUGUAAAGCACUUUCAGUGAGGAAGAACGCCUGGUGGUGAAUACCCAUCAGGAAAGACAUCACUCACAGAAGAAGCACCGGCUAACUCCGUGCCAGCAGCCGCGGUAAUACGGAGGGUGCGAGCGUUAAUCGGAAUUACUGGGCGUAAAGCGCGCGUAGGUGGCUUGAUAAGCCGGUUGUGAAAGCCCCGGGCUCAACCUGGGAACGGCAUCCGGAACUGUCAAGCUAGAGUGCAGGAGAGGAAGGUAGAAUUCCCGGUGUAGCGGUGAAAUGCGUAGAGAUCGGGAGGAAUACCAGUGGCGAAGGCGGCCUUCUGGACUGACACUGACACUGAGGUGCGAAAGCGUGGGUAGCAAACAGGAUUAGAUACCCCUGUAGUC
rnacentral:rRNA from 1 species